rnacentral:rRNA from 1 species
GAUGAACGCUGGCGGCAUGCCUAAUACAUGCAAGUCGAGCGAACAGACGAGGAGCUUGCUCCUCUGACGUUAGCGGCGGACGGGUGAGUAACACGUGGAUAACCUACCUAUAAGACUGGGAUAACUUCGGGAAACCGGAGCUAAUACCGGAUAAUAUAUUGAACCGCAUGGUUCAAUAGUGAAAGACGGUUUUGCUGUCACUUAUAGAUGGAUCCGCGCCGCAUUAGCUAGUUGGUAAGGUAACGGCUUACCAAGGCAACGAUGCGUAGCCGACCUGAGAGGGUGAUCGGCCACACUGGAACUGAGACACGGUCCAGACUCCUACGGGAGGCAGCAGUAGGGAAUCUUCCGCAAUGGGCGAAAGCCUGACGGAGCAACGCCGCGUGAGUGAUGAAGGUCUUCGGAUCGUAAAACUCUGUUAUUAGGGAAGAACAAAUGUGUAAGUAACUAUGCACGUCUUGACGGUACCUAAUCAGAAAGCCGCGGCUAACUACGUG